rnacentral:tRNA from 1 species
CGCGGGGUGGAGCAGUGGUAGCUCGUCGGGCUCAUAACCCGAAGGUCGUUGGUUCGAAUCCUUCCCCCGCAA